GCCCACGUAACUCAGUGGUAGAGUACCUCCUUGGUAAGGAGGAAGUCAUCGGUUCAAGUCCGAUCGUGGGCUCCA
rnacentral:tRNA from 1 species